rnacentral:rRNA from 1 species
UUGACCUCAAAUCGGGUGAGACUACCCGCUGAACUUAAGCCUAUCAUAAGCGGAGGAAAGAACUAACAGGAU